GACGAACGCUGGCGGCGUGCUUAACACAUGCAAGUCGAACGGAAACGCCCUGCUUUUGUGGGGUGCUCGAGUGGCGAACGGGUGAGUAACACGUGAGUAACCUGCCCUUCACUUUGGGAUAACUUCAGGAAACUGGGCCUAAUACCGGAUAGGAGCUCCUGCUGCAUGGUGGGGGUUGGAAAGUUUCGGCGGUUGGGGAUGGACUCGCGGCUUAUCAGCUUGUUGGUGGGGUAGUGGCUUACCAAGGCUUUGACGGGUAGCCGGCCUGAGAGGGUGACCGGCCACAUUGGGACUGAGAUACGGCCCAGACUCCUACGGGAGGCAGCAGUGGGGAAUAUUGCACAAUGGGCGGAAGCCUGAUGCAGCAACGCCGCGUGCGGGAUGACGGCCUUCGGGUUGUAAACCGCUUUCGCCUGUGACGAAGCGUGAGUGACGGUAAUGGGUAAAGAAGCACCGGCUAACUACGUG
rnacentral:rRNA from 1 species